rnacentral:rRNA from 1 species
UACGAAGGGGGCUAGCGUUGCUCGGAAUUACUGGGCGUAAAGGGCGCGUAGGCGGACAGUUUAGUCAGAGGUGAAAGCCCAGGGCUCAACCUUGGAAUUGCCUUUGAUACUGGCUGUCUUGAGUUCGGGAGAGGUGAGUGGAAUGCCGAGUGUAGAGGUGAAAUUCGUAGAUAUUCGGCGGAACACCAGUGGCGAAGGCGACUCACUGGCCCGGUACUGACGCUGAGGCGCGAAAGCGUGGGGAGCAAACAGG